UCUCUUCUUCGCAACUUUAUACGUCGCUUGUUGCACAACGGUUGGGUUCGCUGGUAACGGGUCGAGUCCGUUCACCACCAGAUCCCACACAUCUUGAGAGCCAAGAAUCGCUUUCAUCUUCAUGCUCCAUGGGUCGUAGUUUCUGCCAUCAAGAAUCGGAAAUGUCACUGGAAAGUGUCCGUUCAUAUUCGCGACUGUUGCUCACUCACUAUUCUUCUUGCAAUUGAAGUAUUGAGAACUGAUGGAGGUGGGGAAUAUGUGUCCACUGAAUUCAAUGAAUUUUGUGAAAGUGAAGGCAUUAUUCACAGUGAGUGAGCAACAAUGGACACAUGGAGCUAUAAUUUGUAUUCACAGUGAACACAUAUUCACAGGUUAGAGCUAUAAUUAGUAACAUCACGCGGAUCCACAUCUAGGCAUGGUGUGGCAUGUGCCACACUAGAUUAUUACCCAUUUUUUAAUAGGUAUAUACCCCUAUUAUAGUUUAAAGCUAUAUAAUAAAUAUUAUGUUGUGCAAUAUGAGAGAAGAUGUCUAGUGUGUCCUAGUGGUAAGCACUAGCAACUAUUUUUAUCAUAGUCAGCAGUUCGAUUCCCUCCAUAAGCAUUUCUCUUCAAAAAACAUGACCCCACCAGCUGAUGAAAGUCAUGGGCUAAUACAGUUUGUGUUAAGUCAUAUAUAUAAUUGUUUUUAAAAUAACAUAUAUUAAAAGCAAUAAUUUUUGUGAUUUAAAAAUAAUUAAAAGCAAUAAUAAAUAAUUAAAAGCAAUAAUUUUUGUGAUUUGAUUUUUAAAAUAGGAAGAAGAAUAAAUAUAAAUGCUUU
rnacentral:lncRNA from 1 species